rnacentral:rRNA from 1 species
AGCGAACGCUGGCGGCAGGCUUAACACAUGCAAGUCGAGCGGUCGUAGCAAUACGUCAGCGGCAGACGGGUGAGUAACGCGUGGGAACGUACCUUUUGGUUCGGAACAACCCAGGGAAACUUGGGCUAAUACCGGAUAAGCCCUUACGGGGAAAGAUUUAUCGCCGAAAGAUCGGCCCGCGUCUGAUUAGCUAGUUGGUGAGGUAAUGGCUCACCAAGGCGACGAUCAGUAGCUGGUCUUAGAGGGUGAUCAGCCACAUUGGGACUGAGACACGGCCCAAACGCCUAGGGGAGGCAGCAGUGAGGAAUAUUGAACAAUGGGCGCAAGCCUGAUCCAGCCAUGCCGCGUGAGUGAUGAAGGCCCUAGGGUUGUAAAGCUCUUGUGUGCGUGAAGAUAAUGACGGUACCGCAAGAAUAAGCCCCGGCUAACUUCGUGCCAGCCGCCGCAGUAAAAC